CCCGGCCCUGACCCUGCAGCUCUGGGAGAGCAGCCCCGGCCCUGGGAUUCCCAGGAGUUUCCACUUGGUGAUCAGCACUGAACACAGACCACCAACCAUGGAGUCUGUGCUGAGCUGGGUUUUCCUUGUUACAGUUUUGAAAGGUGUCCAGUGUGAGGUGCAGCUGGUGGAGUCUGGGGGAGGCUUGGUCCAGCCUGGGGGAUUCCUGAGACUCUCCUGUGCGGCCUCUGGAUUCACCUUCAGCAGCUAUGCCAUGAGCUGGGUCCGCCAGGCUCCGGGGAAGGGGCUGGAGUGGGUGGGUUUUAUUAGAACCAAAGCCUAUGGUGGGACAGCAGAAUACGCCGCGUCUGUGAAAGGCCGAUUCACCAUCUCGAGAGAUGAUUCAAAGAACUCGCUGUAUCUGCAGAGGAGCAGCCUGAGAGCCGAGGACACGGCCGUGUAUUACUGUGCGAGACACAGUGAGGGGAGGCCCGUGUGAGCCCGGACACAAACC